rnacentral:lncRNA from 1 species
AUGACUAUCCUGUCUGUUGAAGGAUGUGGCAGUCCUGUGCUGAGAUGUCUUCCACUUAUUCUGUCUCUCAGUUUUCCUUACUGGAAUAUGAAGAAAACGUGGCCUGGCUUCUUCAUUUGGAGGCACAUAGGUAUAGAUCAUGAACAAUGGAAUGUACUUGGCAGAAUAUUAAAUACUGGGCUGGGGGUGUGACUCAGUGGUAGAGUGCUUGCCUAAUAUCCCUAGCACUGCAAAAGUAAAAUAUAAUGA